rnacentral:rRNA from 1 species
AGCUGGAAUUGCUAGUAAUGGCAGGUCAGCAUACUGCCGUGAAUACGUUCCCGGGCCUUGUACACACCGCCCGUCACACCAUGAGAGUUGGAAAUACCCGAAGCCUGUGAGCUAACUGUAAAGAGGCAGCAGUCGAAGGUAGAGCCAAUGAUUGGGGUGAAGUCGUAACAAGGUAAC